UAGUAUCCCAUGAUUUUCUUAGGAUAUCCUGUAAAAUGAACCCUAAAGGAUCUAUCCUUUAACUUGUCCACCUAUUGUCGCUUGACAUGGGUCGAACAUCUCCAAAUCUUGAGAUAUCCAAGAGUUGACUUCUUACCAUGUCAUAAUUUAUAUCGUGUGGUAGGAACAGAUUUAGAGGAAAUUCAAUUCAAAAGAUGAAUCGCAAUAAGCAAAGCAUGUCCCUAGAGGAAGUCAG
rnacentral:lncRNA from 1 species